UUCCCGAAAGGUGGGGUGGCACCUGCGAGAGACCGCGGGGUGGGGUGCCGGAGCCGGCGGGCGCUUGCUGGGUUGGGGAGCGCGCUGCUCAGCUGAGGUUAAAGCACUGGCAAAGAAGGGAAAGGCAGAAAGUAUGUCUUGAUGGUGUCUCCAGAAGAAAUGAGCAUUUGAAUCAGUAGACAGAGGAAAGAAGAUUGACCUCACCAAUGUGGGUAAAGAAUUUGUAAAGAUGGUAGUGAAGUUAGAAUCAUAUGGUCAGACAAGGAUGUCCACUCUCACCACUGCUCUUCAAUAUAAUACUGGAAGUCCUAGCCAGAGCAAUAAGACAAGAGAAAGACAUCCGAGGAAUCGAAAUAGGAAAAGAAGAAGUCAAACUAUCACUAUUUGCAGAUGAUAUGAUAAUAUACAUAGAGAACCCCAAAAACUCCACAGAAAAACUAAUUCAACUUAUCAAUCAGUUCAGUAAAGUGGCAGGAUACAAAAUCAACACGCAAAAGUCAGUAGCCUUCCUAUACACAAACAAUAAAUCUGAAGAAGAAGAAAUA